GCAGCGGAACCCCUGGGCCUUACCAGCUCUGUGACUUCGGAGAUACUUCACCACCACCGGGGCCUGUUUCUCCUCUGUCUGGCAGGGCUGAUGUCACUCACCUGGCGGGGGGAGGAGAAGAGCGGGGUGAUGAGAGGAACCGUGUGCCCGGAGUCUCUGGCUCACAUCCGGCUAUGACUUUACCGAGACCACAGACCUGCUUUGGGCGGGGCGCCGGUGGUCCAGCCUCAGAACUGCUGAGCUGCCCCCUGGAAGAUGGUCUGUCAAAGAACCACAGAGAGUUCUAGAGCCAGAUGGAACCUUGACCAUCAUGCUGAAAACACCAUACAGUACCUCCCCUGCACCUGUCCUGGGCUGUGUGUGAGACAUGGGAUUAUAUCCUGUCUACAGAUGAGAAGAUGUGGCCUGGGGCAGUGAGGGACCCGACUCCAAGAGGUAGAGCUAGAAGUCCACCCCGAUGGCUGGCUGGCCUCAGGGGUGGUUCUCCAUUAUGCCAUGUGCCUGUUUCUUCUCCGGAGAAACUGAGGCCACUGCUUCCUUUUGCAGGAAUGGAAACAGAAGCCCCAGGAUGGGCCUUCCACGGUGGAGCCAAAAUAACCCUAAGGAGGCUGCAGGCCCCAAGACAGUGCCUAUUGCUAAACCCCAACAACUCCUCGUCAGCCCCGCCGCGACGUGCCUGA
rnacentral:lncRNA from 1 species